GAUCCUGGCUUAGAGCGAACGCUGGCGGCAGGCUUAACACAUGCAAGUCGAGCGGGCGUAGCAAUACGUCAGCGGCAGACGGGUGAGUAACGCGUGGGAACGUACCUUUUGGUUCGGAACAACACAGGGAAACUUGUGCUAAUACCGGAUAAGCCCUUACGGGGAAAGAUUUAUCGCCGAAAGAUCGGCCCGCGUCUGAUUAGCUAGUUGGUGAGGUAAUGGCUCACCGAGGCGACGAUCAGUAGCUGGUCUGAGAGGAUGAUCAGCCACAUUGGGACUGAGACACGGCCCAAACUCCUACGGGAGGCAGCAGUGGGGAAUAUUGGACAAUGGGCGCAAGCCUGAUCCCAGCCAUGCCGCGUGAGUGAUGAAGGCCCUAGGGUUGUAAAGCUCUUUUGUGCGGGAAGAUAAUGACGGUACCGCAAGAAUAAGCCCCGGCUAACUUCGUGCCAGCCGCGGC
rnacentral:rRNA from 1 species